AGCCAAGUUGACCUAAACAUGUGUACAUCCGAGAUUUUAUGAUUUGUCGAUGCUAUCUUUUCAAAACUAUGGAGUCACUUCGAUUUAUAUUUAAAAAAGAAAGAGUAAGGUAGAUGAGCGAGUAAGUAAGGGAGACUGUGACAAACCGGUCAAGGGGACACUCGGGCGGUGGGGACAUGGGGUACAUACAAACACAUCCCAUGAAAACAUAUGGGUGGUACGGUACACCAUACUAGUUCUGCAGGUAAAACAUCAAGCAGAGAUCAAGAGUUUCAAGUAAUGGCCUCGUCAAAGCCUACAUUAACCUCUAUGGCUUCGAUUAGAAAGCGAUUACCUUUCUGUUAACAUUGGGAGCCUAAUACUCGUGUGUGCUAACUAGUGCGUAUUCAAAUGACGUUAAAAUUUUAACUCUACAUAUCACAAAGAAACACUUAGAAAUUCUUAUAAAUAUUGCUAAAGAAAGAACAGAGGCCCUCUAUAUAUUAUAACAAAUAAAAAUCCUAACACAAAAUGGAAAUGAGUCGUGCCUUUGGGAACAGUGCCUUAUGCAUGUCACCGCAGCAUGUGUGUAAAUUGUCGUCCCAUGGUCUAAGAAGUCCGCACAAACUAAGCAUGGACGAUACUUUCCGCCUAGUGUCGUCAUCAAGUCUGGUAUAUAUUUUAAAUAAUACGCGUUUCCUCUGUGCCUCUUUAAUUCAGUCGUCCUUUGCAAACGAUGCAGUUUUUCCCUUCAAUUACACCCAAGACUAUUAAUAUCACUAAGCCUCUCUCUGUGAAAACGGGGUUUAAUGCACGUGCGUACAGUGUCAUCAAAUAUGAGCCCUAAUUUUUUAAAGAAGCCUCUUUUUAGCGAAAUUCCAGCUUAAGCAAAAUUGUCGUUCCUUAUUGGCCUGUGCGGACCAUCUGGGACGACACUUAACGCAUAAACAUUAAGCCCCGUUUUCCCAGAGCGAUGCUCCAUUAGAUAUGUUGCUCCUCAUUUUUCAUUUUCCGUCAAUUGAGACUGCUAAAUAAGCAAGAACAUUUGCCAGUCGACAUCGGUCGCUUUUAACGCGGCGUUGCUUGAUAAAGCCGCAUGCCCUAGAUUGUUUGGUCUGCAACAGACAGUGAUGGCCCAGCUUAUCCCGCCAAUGUGUUCCCAUGAUGCAAAGAGGGUUGACGGUUGUGAAUCAGUUUACACAGUCCGUAUCUCCAAGAUUUAAAAAAAAAGAGACGGAAUCAAGCCUAAGUCGAUGGAACUGACAAAUGUGUUAUUGUUAAAGAAACCGUGAUACAUAUUUCAGAUAUUUACUACAAUAGCAUAUACAAAACUAAUUUAUUCAUAAUGUUUUGAAAUUACAAUACUGCCAUACGAGUAUUAUUUAGUUAGAUUAGUCAAUUGAUGCAUCGAAUCAAAAAUCUGUAAUGAUGAUAUUAGAAAAUUGUAUAUUAUAAAUAGUAUUGCUAAAACAUGCUAAAAUUUAUUGAAUUAAUGAAAUGGGAUAAUACGAGUACCAACAGAAACUUAGCUAUGUAUGUACAUAAAGCAUUUAGUCAAAGAAACCUGUAUACAUGUUAUUAUGAUUUAUUGUAUAGAAUUCAUUACUCAAACUUGACUUCUCGCUUUUUUGUAGAUUCGUCGUUGUUGUUUUUGAUAUUAACAUCAUAGGAUUGUUAAAUAGAUCCUUAAUG